rnacentral:antisense_RNA from 1 species
AGCAUUGCAAACACGCUCCCCCCCAAACCACAAACGCGCCCCCACACACUCGCUUACUUUCCCUCACAAAGAUGCCCGCUUACACGGCCACAGCAGGCACGCUCAGAGACACGCAGUUACACACUUACACACAUCGCUGUACACAACCCUACAUACAAUCAAAAAACAAAACACGAAACGUUCCCCUGGGCACUAAAUCCUCACGUUAACGUACACACACAAACACACGCCCUCCUCUCCCACUUCCUCUUCCAUACCCCUUCCUCGAGGCCCCCCACCCCUGAUUUUCGGCACCCCCAGUCCCAAUCAUAAUUGGCGCCCGCGCAGCCCUCUUUGGACACACACGCGCGCCCACGCACGCGCUCCCCUCCCCGGCAGGCGGGGGCGGCUUCGGCCGGGAGCCGGCGGAGCCCGCUUCGGAUUCCAGGUGUGGCAGUAACUCCGCGCUCCACGUUUUGCAGGCUGCCACCGUGUUGGAGGCGAGGCGAGGAAGGGAGCUGGAAUAACAAAGGUGGCAGCUGAGCAUCCCUGGAGAGGGUGGGUGGUAUGAAAGCACUUCCAGACCUCUAGGGACACCAGGGAGUCAUGGUCCCAGCACAUUGCUGUGUGAUUGAGCCCCUCCUCAGCCUGUGGGUGGCCCAAGUUCACAGGGAGGUAAUGGGGUAGAUUGGAUACCUCUGGGGUCUUGGAAGAAGCUAUGACUUAUUUACUGUCUACUAUGUGAGUUUUGGGCAUCCUUCUAUCAGCCCUUAUCCCAGGGCAGGAAGAACAGCCUUGAUCCUGGAUCCCAGGCACAGCUGGGUGUCAGACCUGGAGGAGAAGCUCCCAGAGUGACCAAGAUAGAAUCGGCAUGCAGCUGAAGCCACUUGCUCAGAGCCGCACAGCAAGUCCACCACCCUGAACCUCCAGAUUCCCAACUCAGCAUUGUGUCCUGACAGUGUCAUCAUAGACGGUCAACACUGUCACCUGGGCAGCACUGAAGCCCAGAGCGGGAGAGACUGGCUCAAGACCAUGGGCCCUGACAUUCUCCAGCUUUCAUGGUGUUCCUGCAAUCCAAGUGCAGCUUAUCUCUCUACAGGUCCACCAGAUGACCGGCUGGCCUCCUAAUUGGGCUUCCUGCAUUCCUGCCUGUGCUCGGAGCUCCCUUCUCCAUUUGCCUGCUGGAGGAGGUUUACAAACAAAAUCAGAUCAUGGCACUCCCCUGGGGCCCUGCAUCCUGUGGCCAGCAGGUCUUGGAAACGCCCCUGUACCCCAGAAACUUCCUGGUCAGUCCCUGGUCAGUGUAUAUCAUGCUUCCUGUGCAUGACAUCAACUUUUCUGUGACUUCCACUGGUUUUGGCCCAGCUCGAAGAGCCUGACACUUCUGCAGGGAAUUCUACCAGGGAGCUCAGGAGGGGGAAUUGCACUGAAGAUUUGUCCCAUCGUGAAGCAAGAGCACUGGAACUUACACUCCACCAUCAGGCCCUGUCACAGGAGAACAAAGAAGGAAGGCAGAGGAGAUCAUGCUCCGCCCAGCAGGGAAUCUCCAUUUUUUUCAGCCUCAUACCUUGGAAAGUACAAAGGAGUGAGAGCUGGGACUACCAGCCAGAGGGUUCAUGGAGGUAGUGGGAGGGGAAGAUGGGUUCUGCAUGGAGCCACUCCAGGGACUUUUCUUCUGUCUCACAGCCUGACAAUCACCUCUAGCUGUUCUCAGUCCCGUUCUCAUCGAUGACCUCGUCUCCUGUUUUUGUACAAUAUCUAGGUGACCUUCUCUUCUUUCCAUCUUCAAACGCUUGAUCAUUGAUGCUCCCUUUUCUCUUCUCUCUCCUCCUGGGAAAAGAGAAGGACCAAUAUCCCCCUUUCCCUUCCUCCUGUGCUGUCCCAACCCCUCUGAGACCUGGCUCUAGCAGUAAGUCCCUCUCUCUUCUGCAGCACCAGCCUCUGCCCAUCCCUGCCCUCUGCACACAAAGCUCUCACAUUGUCUGCACUUUAAGAAAUUUUGUGGCAAACCCUGGCAAAUCCUGCCACUUGUUUCCACUCUUCUCAAAUGGCUUUGAGGUCAUCAUUGACCUAUCCCAUUUGACCCUGUCCUGUAUCUGAUGUUGUACCCUUUCUCCUUGAUCCCACUCUGGCAACUCUCCCACUCCCCUUUCUUGGAUCAACUGUCUUGCUCCUCAGUCUUGAUCAAUGCCUCCUUCUCUCUCUUUAGCCUUGGCCCUUUUUGGCCAGGGAAAUAAAUGUGAAAUACAUAAAGCUUCAUUUUAUCUUAUGAUUAUAGCUAUGUUGAUGUUACCCAAGACCUAAAAGUCACACUCUCUAAUUACACUUCCCUCCUGUGUUCUGGAUCCUCUUGGACCAGUCCUUACUCUGGCUCCCCUCCUGGAUGUCUCCCAGACUUCUAAUUAGAAUUACUGUUUCCUAUAUCAAGCUAAUUAUCUUUCCCACCAACCUCCUCCAUCCUUGGGUGAAAGCAUCACUUGGUUGCAAAAGUCAGAAAUCUGGGUUUCAUUCUUGCGGUAGGUAGAAUAAUGCCCCCAGGCCCCAGGUUUUGACAUCCGAAUCCCUGGGACUUUGCAGAUGUGAUUCAGUUUAGGAUUUUGAGAUGGGGAGAUUAUGUGGGAGAGCCUGAUGUCAUCGUAAGGUUCUUAUAAGAGGGAGGCAGGAGGGUUAGAGUGAGUAGUAAGAGAUGCAACAGUGGAAGCAAGAGGUUGGGGUGAUGUGGCCACAAGCCCAGGAGUGCUGACAGACAUCAGAAGCUGGAAGGGACAAGGAAUGGUUUCUCCUCUGGAGCCUCCAGAAAGAACCAGCCCUGCUGACACCUUGAUUUUAGCCUUGGAAGACUCAUUUUGGACUUCUGACCUUGAACGUUGUAAGAGAAUAAAUUUACAUAUUUUAAACUGG